rnacentral:rRNA from 1 species
AUUGAACGCUGGCGGCAGGCCUAACACAUGCAAGUCGAGCGGAUGAAGGGAGCUUGCUCCUGGAUUCAGCGGCGGACGGGUGAGUAAUGCCUAGGAAUCUGCCUGGUAGUGGGGGAUAACGUCCGGAAACGGGCGCUAAUACCGCAUACGUCCUGAGGGAGAAAGUGGGGGAUCUUCGGACCUCACGCUAUCAGAUGAGCCUAGGUCGGAUUAGCUAGUUGGUGGGGUAAAGGCCUACCAAGGCGACGAUCCGUAACUGGUCUGAGAGGAUGAUCAGUCACACUGGAACUGAGACACGGUCCAGACUCCUACGGGAGGCAGCAGUGGGGAAUAUUGGACAAUGGGCGAAAGCCUGAUCCAGCCAUGCCGCGUGUGUGAAGAAGGUCUUCGGAUUGUAAAGCACUUUAAGUUGGGAGGAAGGGCAGUAAGUUAAUACCUUGCUGUUUUGACGUUACCAACAGAAUAAGCUCCGGCUAACUUCGUA